rnacentral:rRNA from 1 species
GAUGAACGCUGGCGGCGUGUCUAAUACAUGCAAGUCGAGCGAACGGACGAGAAGCUUGCUUUUCUGAUGUUAGCGGCGGACGGGUGAGUAACACGUGGAUAACCUACCUAUAAGACUGGGAUAACUUCGGGAAACCGGAGCUAAUACCGGAUAAUAUUUUGAACCGCAUGGUUCAAAAGUGAAAGACGGUCUUGCUGUCACUUAUAGAUGGAUCCGCGCUGCAUUAGCUAGUUGGUAAGGUAACGGCUUACCAAGGCAACGAUGCAUAGCCGACCUGAGAGGGUGAUCGGCCACACUGGAACUGAGACACGGUCCAGACUCCUACGGGAGGCAGCAGUAGGGAAUCUUCCGCAAUGGGCGAAAGCCUGACGGAGCAACGCCGCGUGAGUGAUGAAGGUCUUCGGAUCGUAAAACUCUGUUAUUAGGGAAGAACAUAUGUGUAAGUAACUGUGCACAUCUUGACGGUACCUAAUCAGAAAGCCACGGCUAACUACGUG